CAGCCGCCACGGUAAUACGAAGGGUGCAAGCGUUACUCGGAAUUACUGGGCGUAAAGCGUGCGUAGGCGGUGAGUUAAGUCUGCUGUGAAAUCCCCGGGCUCAACCUGGGAAUGGCAGUGGAUACUGGCUCGCUAGAGUGUGUCAGAGGAUGGUGGAAUUCCCGGUGUAGCGGUGAAAUGCGUAGAGAUCGGGAGGAACAUCAGUGGCGAAGGCGGCCAUCUGGGACAACACUGACGCUGAGGCACGAAAGCGUGGGGAGCAAACAGGAUUAGAUACCCCGGUAGUCCUUGUCUCUUAUAC
rnacentral:rRNA from 1 species